GACGAACGCUGGCGGCGUGCCUAAUACAUGCAAGUAGAACGCUGAAGAGAGGAGCUUGCUCUUCUUGGAUGAGUUGCGAACGGGUGAGUAACGCGUAGGUAACCUGCCAGGUAGCGGGGGAUAACUAUUGGAAACGAGAGCUAAUACCGCAUAACAUGGAUUAUUGCAUGAUAAUCCAUUGAUAGGUGCAAAUGCAUCAUUACCAGAUGGACCUGCGUUGUAUUAGCUAGUUGGUGGGGUAACGGCUCACCAAGGCGACGAUACAUAGCCGACCUGAGAGGGUGAUCGGCCACACUGGGACUGAGACACGGCCCAGACUCCUACGGGAGGCAGCAGUAGGGAAUCUUCGGCAAUGGACGGAAGUCUGACCGAGCAACGCCGCGUGAGUGAAGAAGGUUUUCGGAUCGUAAAGCUCUGUUGUAAGAGAAGAACGAGUGUGAGAGUGGAAAGUUCACACUGUGACGGUAUCUUACCAGAAAGGGACGGCUAACUACGUG
rnacentral:rRNA from 1 species